rnacentral:antisense_RNA from 1 species
GAACACAAAAUGGCGACACGUGGUUAGCAUUCGUCGCCAACGAGAAAUUGGGGUCGGCCCGAAAGCUCUAGAAUGCACCCCUAUUCCUCCCCGGGGCCAUUCCCGCUCAACGAGUUUUAUGACCUAAAAAACCCCACAGGCUGGUCUGAAGAGGAAGACACUUAAAGAUGAAGUGCUUAAUUCAAGGUCACAGAAUGUCGGGGAUGGACCUCCAGAUUUCCUUACUGACCUGCAUUAUCUUGUGGAUACCUGAGUGAAUUCCACACCACCCAUUUUAUAGAUGAAGCCACUGAGACGUGGAGCAACUGACUGAGUAGUCACUGCCCCACCCCUGCCUGGAGCCUCACACAUGACUUCUCUUAGUGACCACAGUACUUAUCCUGUAUUACAUGAGGGAAAUGAAAUAAAAAGACUGCAACCCUCCUCCCAGCUACUCUAGUGAGGUGGUAGCUAGAUGGAGUCUCACUCUGUAGCCCAAGCUGGAGUGGCGUGAUCUCGACUCACUGCAACCUCCGCCUCCUGGGCUCAAGUGAUUCUCGUGCCUCAGCCUCCUGAGUAGCUGGGACUACAGGUCAUAGAAUUUUCCACACUCCUUGACGGAGGUUCUUAACCCUUAUCCAUCAGCAUUCUCAGACAGCACCUCCGGUUAGGGACAGUAUCUGACCGUCCGACAUCCCUGCAGCCCCCAUGCUGUCACA